CAGGCCAGGGGCAACCAAGCCCCGCCCGCCCUUGCUCCACAGACUCCAGCAGGCGGCCGCCACCAGCCCAGGGUCUCUCUGGAUCUUUGGAUGACAACACGUGGCCCCCAGGGUGCUCCCGACUCUCCAAACCCACACUUAGCAUCUCCUCCCUCAGGAUCCUUCCUCUCUUGUUAAAACACCUGCCCCACCUCCUCUGGACUUCCAUUCCCAAGUUCCGGGGGUUGGGGUCAACGCUGACCCUCUUCUGGUUCACCACUCUCACGCUCGCGCCCCUGUUUGACUCCAUUUCCCACCCUGUCUUCAUCCCAUGAGUCGCCCCUCCCCCAAGUCUUCCGCACAGCUCACCCCGUCAGCCCUGUCCCUGCCAGAGCGGUCUCCUCCUUCCUUUCCCCAAAGAACAGAGCAGCCGGCUCUUCACUCUCUAGGGUACUCCAAGCUCCUGUCUGAAUAAUUUGCUCCUGUCGCAUCCGGGCACUGGGUCUGCCCUAACCCAGGUUCCCCAAAAUUCGUUCUGAUUCCAAAUGCCCCCUGAAAUGUCAUCUCCAACCACCUGUACCUCCCACCCCCCAAGACUGAGGCAUGAUCCUUAACAGGGCACUAAACUCUGGGGUUCUAGCCUGGACUGGGUCCUGGGCACGGGGAGGACUGGAUUCCACUUUCUCCCUGAAGCUGUAAGCCUCCUGCCACAGCCCGGACCCAGACUCUGCUUGAAGUCCUUUCAGGAGGCCUCUUUAAUCCGGGGUUCAAAGGCGGCUGUUACUAAUCAGAACAACUUAUCGGGUGACCUUGAACAAGCCUCUUGACCUGCGUGCACCUCAGUUUCCCCAGGAAACGGAGAUGGGCGCACCCCAGAUGCAUCUCCUGGGAUGGCUUCACCCAGAUACCUCGCCCCCAGAGUCCCUCUCCCCAACGACAGCCUGAGCCACAGGAGGGCAGGCAAUUUGGCGGGAAGGAGGUGACCGUCCCCAUCUCUCAGGCACAAUGGCGGGAAGGAGGUGACCGCGAAGAGCUGAUGGCGUCCCUACGGCCCUGGAUCCGGAGCAUCAUCGCCCAGGUCCCACAGAGCCGGGCCUACUGAGAAGACACGGACGAGGGUACAGGGAGGCCGGGCCCCAUGUGACCAUGGGCAAGUCUUCCUGCUGGCUGGACCAGUCACCUCAUCUCAAAGAGGCGGGGAGUUCGCACACUCUUCACAGGCACCCCUGGGCCCGGGGGGCGGGGUUCUGGCCUCUGUCCCCCCCCACACUCAGGGCCUUCGCCCCUCCAAAGCUCCACAAUCAUCCCCUCCACAAAUCAAAAUGAAAAUCGGAAUGAAAAGCUACAAAGGGCACUGCUUAUAACAAGGUUUUAAUAAAAUAAAAAGUUCAAGUGCUUCCAA